UGUGGAGCUGGGGUGCGUUACCUUCUCGGGGCAGGUUGUUCCUUGCAUGCUAAGCCAGGCCAUGUGAAGAUAAUGAAGUCCCGCCUCGGGCUACCGGACACCGUUUGUACCAUCAGGCCAUCCUGUCCAAGUCUCCUGGGGUCUUUGCCUGCUUGUUUAAACACUGAAGGCCAA
ensembl:lncRNA novel transcript, antisense to PYGL